rnacentral:rRNA from 1 species
UACGGAGGUGCAAGCGUUACUCGGAAUCACUGGGCGUAAAGGACGCGUAGGCUGUUUGCAAGUCAGAUGUGAAAUCCAAUGGCUCAACCAUUGAACUGCAUUUGAAACUGCUAGACUAGAGUAUGGGAGGGGGAGAUGGAAUUAGUGGUGUAGGGGUAAAAAUCCGUAGAUAUCACUAGGAAUACCUAAAAGCGAAGGCGAUCUCCUGGAAC